rnacentral:lncRNA from 1 species
CUCCCGGGGCCGAGCAAAAAUACCGGGAAUUGGAGGAGGGGUCGCACAGUGUGACGUCACUGGUGCCGACCAGGACGGCCCGCCAUUUUUACCGGAACAUAAAUCACAGACAGUUUCCUUACGACCCUCAAUGACAAUUGAAUUGAAUCCUGAAUCAGGGCCAAAACAAAUCCCUACUGGGAUUUUCGGGCCGCUUCCUGAUAAUACUAUAGGUUUAAUUUUGGGGCGUAAUAAUUUAAAAGGAGCCAUUGAGGUAAUACCUGGAGUGAUAGAUUCAAGUUUUAAAGGACAAUUAAAUGUUACUGUAAGGUCCAAUUAUGCCCUAAAGCUUACUCCAAAGGAUGCAUUUGCCCAAUUGAUUUUAUUGCCCUGUGAUUCAGAUAAACACCCGCAAGUAAAUUCAGUUUCUAAACCACCAGACAGAGUGUACUGGUCUCAGUUAGUGCAAAAAGAGCACCCUUUAUUGAAACAUAAAAUUAAUCAUAAAAAUUUCAAGGGUAUUCUAGACACAGGUGCAGAUAUUUCUGUCUUUUCUAGUAGAUUCUGGCCUAGGAAUUGGCCCUUACAUGUAGCACCAGCUAACCUAGAGGGAAUUGGACAGAUUUCACAGACUGCUCAAAGUGCAAAUUAUCUCUGUUGGGAAGAUUCUGAUGGGAACAGUGGAGUUUUUAAACCUUAUGUGUUAGAGUCUUUACCAGCAAACCUAUAGGGAAGGGAUAUUUUAGCAAAAAUGGGAUUGUUAUUAGUAACUCCGAAUUCUAUAAGAACAAUUGAGGAAGUUAAUCAGAGGUAUUUUCCUGGAGAUGAUAAGGAGACCUUUCAGGGAGAGUAUCUGUUUACAAACAAGACUCCACAGCAAAAAAUUAGUAAAUGCUCCAAGCCAAAAUUUUUACUAGGGAUCCUGAGUAUUUCCUUGAUCCCUAAGACAGCUGAAAAAAUUACCUGGCUCACAGAGGAGCCUAUAUGGAUUUCUCAGUGGCCCAUCUCAGGGGAAAAACUUAAAAUAAUUCAUAGGUUAGUUGAGGAACAACUUCAGGCUGGUCAUAUAGAACCAACACUCAGUCCUUGGAAUACACCUAUUUUUGUUAUUAGGAAAAAGUCACGAAAUUGGAGGUUGCUACAGGAUUUAAGGGCAAUAAAUCAUGUAAUUCAGCCUAUAAGAUCAUUACAGCCAGGACUUUCUUCCCCCACAGCCAACCCUUUAAACUAUAGCUUGAUGGUAAUAUAUUUAAAAGACUGUUUCUUCUCUAUAAGGUUACAUCCUGGAGAUUGUGAAAAAUUUGCCUUCACUGUACCAGCAAUUAAUUUUAAGGAACCUGUUAAAAGAUAUUGCUGGAAAGUACUCCCCCAGGGAAUGCGUAAUAGUCCUACCUUAUGCCAAAAAUAUGUAGAUCAGGUGAUAGCUCCCAUAAGAAAUAGCUUUCCUGAUGCGUAUAUUAUUCAUUUUAUGGAUGAUAUAUUAUUGGCUCAUGCUAAUCCAGAGGUACUUUCAGAAAUUUUUACUCAGUUAGAGGCUUCACUUACAGCAAUGGGUUUAUGCAUUGCUCCUCAAAAAAUUCAAAAGAUGCCUCCCUUUCAAUAUUUAGGUCAGAUAAUUCAAGGAUGUACAAUCCAUCCUCAAAAUCUUCAGAUAAGAGUUAAGGAGUUACAUACCCUUAAUGAUUUUCAAAAACUAUUAGGAGAUAUUAAUUGGCUGAGGCCAUUCUUAAAACUACUUCUGAAUUAAGUCCUUUAUUUCAGAUAUUACAAGGAAAUCCUUCUCCAACCUCUCCACGUCAGCUGACGUUAGAGGCUAGAACAGCCUUAAAAAGGGUUGAAAAUGCAAUUAAAAAUGCACAACUUACUAGAGUUGAUCCUAAGGAAAUAGUGUAUUUAUUAAUAUUUCCAACUGAGCAUACCCCAACAGGAGCCAUAUGGCAAAGAUUAGGAGUUAUUGAGUGGAUUUUUUAGCCCACUCCCAUCAAAAAACAUUGACUCCUUUUCAUGACUCUAUUGCUCAAUUAGUAAUUAAAGGUAGAACUAGGAUUUUACAAUUAAUUGGAUCUGAGCCUAAUAUCAUAAUUAUUCCAUUUUCUGUUCAACAGACUAAUUGGCUUUUUCAAACUUCUAGCUUAUGGCAGAUAGCUUUUGCUGAUUUUCCUGGUCAGAUAGAUAGCCAUUACCCUCGUAAUAAGAUUAUCCAAUUUGCAUCAUUAACUUCACUUAUUUUUCCAAAGACUGUGUGUGCACGUCCUAUAGAUGAGGCCUUAUCGGUGUUCACGGAUGGUUCUAACUCAGGUAAAGCAGGUUUUUAUAGUCAUCUUCACACAGAGGUAAUGCAAACUUCAUAUACUUCUGCCCAAAGAGCAGAGCUUCAAGCUCUGAUUUGUGCCUUAAAUUACUUUGCAAAUGAGCCUAUUAAUAUUUAUUCUGACAGCUUAUAUGCAGUCGGAGUUACCAAAAAUAUUGAAACUUCAGUUAUUGGGUAUACUUCAUCACAAGAGUUAUCUGAAUUAUUUCAUAAUUUACAAAAGACAGUGCUAAUGCAAAAAUACCCAUGUUUCAUAGGACACAUACGGGCUCACACUAAUCUUCCAGGAUCUUUAGUUUCAGGUAAUGACAAAGUUGAUAAAUUAGUAGCUUUUUGUCAACAGAUGUCUUAAUAUGACUGUGCACAAGCUUCCCAUUCCUUGCAUCAUCAAAAUGCUUCUAGCUUACGUAAAAUAUUUAAUAUUACCAGAGAACAAGCUUGUCAAAUUGUAAGCCAAUGCCCUAAGUGUAUUAUUCACACUCCAUCUCCACCAUCAGGGGUAAAUCCCCGUGGAUUAAAACCAAAUCAAAUAUGGCAAAUGGAUGUAACUCAUUCCUCAAUUUGGUAAGCAAUGUUAUGUACAUGUCAUAGUUGAUACAUAUUCCAGAUUUAUUUUUGCCACAGCACGUACUAAGGAAAAUACUCAACAUAUAAUUUCUCAUUGCCUAGCAGAUUUUUCUGUGUUAGGGUGCCCUAUACAGAUUAAAACAGAUAAUGCACCCAGCUUAUGUAAGCUCUUCUUUUCAACAAUUUUGCCAAGAAUUUCAAAUUAAUCACAAAACAGGAAUUCCUUAUAACCCCCAAGGUCAAGCCAUUGUGGAACGAGCUCAUUUAUCUAUUAAGCUUCAAUUACAAAAAUUAAAAGGGGGGAAUAGGUCUAUGAAUCCCCAAAAUAGCCUCAAUCAUUCCUUGUUCAUUUGAAAUUUUUUAAACUGUGACGUAGAAGGUCACACUGCGGCUGAGAGGCAAAUAUCUCCCUCAGUAACAGGCCCUUCAGGCAGAGUUUUGUGGAAAGAUUUACAGACUGGUCAAUGAAAAGGCCCAGAUCCAGUGAUUAUGUGGGGCAGAGGUCAUGCUUGUAUUUUUCCAGAAGAUGCUUUUCGUCCUAUCUGGGUGCCUGAACGCGCAAUCAGACAUGGAAGAGAUAGAACCGAGAUUCAAGCAACUGAAGAUUGACCCGGAGAAGCCCCCAUCCAAAAGGAAGAGAUAUCGAAAAAGACAAAGAGAAACCAGAUUGACCCAGCCGAAAAGCUGAUUUCAUGGGAAGACGUGAAGAAGCUAACAACACAGGCUUCCCGAAUAAUUCGACUCCUAAGAAAGAACAGGACCCCAGUCUUGAUGGUAGCUACAGUAAUUGCCCUGCUGGGCUGUCAGGUAAAGGGGAAUCAGAUAGACACUUACUGGACAUAUUUCCCAGAUCCACCCCUGGUACACCCAGAUGUGUGGACUGGAGAAUCUAUUCCAGUGUUUACUAAUGACUCAUUCAUGAUGGGAGGAUUUACAGAUACACAUAUUACUCCCAAUCAUGUGACUAGAUUUAAUUAUUCUGGCUACAGUGCCCAAUUACCUUUGUGUUGGUCCCAAGAUAAACACGCUGGCUGUCUGAAAGUAUCAUUUGAGGAAAAGACAGCGAUUGUAGACCUAGACUGACUAAUUAUUCUAUUUAUGGAGACUUAAAACCUUAUACUAGAUCAGUAAUUAAGAUGGGACUUUCCCAUAACAAGCCAAUCAUUUCUGCAAAACCUCCACGGAUACCCCACUGUCCAAAUAGUUCUACAAUUGAUAUUGGCACCUUUCCUAGAUGGAUGGAUUGUGUAAAUACUUUUCCUGUACAACAUAAGGUGUCUAAAGAUAGUGGGUAUAUCUUAGACUGGUCUCCAAAAAUUGAUGAGACAAUUACGAAAAAAUUCUGCUAGACACCUGCAAGAUUUGUUAGUAAUAUUUUGACUUACAGUGAGGGUGGUGUUCAAAAAGAUGUUUGGCGCUUAAUUGCUGCCUCAGAAUUCUUACAUUUUACAGAAAAGCCUUUACCAAAAUUUGUUGGCAAGAACUGUAAGGAGGGAUCUUGGCUUAUGAGCCUGUGUUCAAUCUCCUUAUGUUUUAAUUAUUGGAAAUGUAAAAGUUAAAUGGAUAGAUGACAGAUAUGUUGUUACAUGUAACAAAUGUAACUUAACCAAUUGUAUUACUAGGUAUAAUGGAGGAAAAGGAGUGCUGAUACUUCAUCAGCCCUCUUUUGUUUUAUUACCUGAUAAUAUUUCAGAGCCAUGGUAUGCUGAUACAGGUUUACAAGUCUUGCAGCAAAUUCAUGCCCAGUAGCAAGACCUAAACGUGCUAUUGGAAUUAUAAUUGUUGGUGUUUUGGCAUUAGUUUCUUACAUUGCAUCCACUGUUUCUGCAUCUCUGACAUUGUCUCAAAAUAUUAGCAAAAUUUCUUAAUAAUUUAGCUCAAAAUACUUCCAAGGCUCUGUGUAAUCAAGUAAAUAUUGAUGAAAGGAUUGAGACUAAAUUAAACGCCUUAGAGGCGACUGUUAGAGACAUAGGUAAUGAACUUUCAGCUUUCAAAUUUAAAGAAAGGCUUAAAUGCCACGCAAAUUAUAAAUAUGUGUGUGUUACAGCUGCCAAGUACAAUGCUUCUCUCUCGGAUUGGGAGAAGGUUAAAAACCAUUUGUUAGGUAUUUGGCAAAAUAAUAAUAAUAGCUUGGAUCUUUUGGAACUUCAUCACCAUAUCCAAGACAUUCAAAUCCUUCUUCUUUGGCUAACCAAAUAUUGAAGGAGUUAAAUGGAUUUAACCCUGGAAAUAUUCUUAAACACUCAGCCUGAUACAUUAUUGGAUUGUUCUCUUUGCUGUAAAUUCUCUUUUGUGUUGUAAUUAUAGGAUGGCGAGUCUUCGGAACAAGAAUACAGAAACUCAAAAAAGAGUGAACCACCGCCUGAUUUUUAAGAGGAAAAAGGGGGAAUAUGUGGGGAGCCAUUCUUGCACAUGAUUGGGCACCUCCCUGAUUGGGUGUGAGGUGUUCUGGCCAAACUGUGUUGGAGCUUAUCCACACCCUCUCCAGGUGCAAGAGCCUGUCCGUGUGGGGGUGUGACUGUCCAUUGACCCUGAGACCAAUCACUGACCCUGACCUUGGAAUGCUGCCCCCCUCGACCUUCAUUGGAUGGAAUUUUCCCCUGAAUUUCUUGUUCCCCAAUAAAAGGCCACUCCCUGGUGUGCUCUCUCUCUCUCUCUCUUUCUCCUGCUAGUCUUGAGUAAGCCUUGCU